AUUGAACGCUGGCGGCAUGCUUUACACAUGCAAGUCGAACGGCAGCGCGGGCUUCGGCCUGGCGGCGAGUGGCGAACGGGUGAGUAAUGCAUCGGAACGUGCCCAGUAGUGGGGGAUAGCCCGGCGAAAGCCGGAUUAAUACCGCAUACGACCUGAGGGUGAAAGCGGGGGACCGAAAGGCCUCGCGCUAUUGGAGCGGCCGAUGUCGGAUUAGCUAGUUGGUGGGGUAAAGGCUUACCAAGGCGACGAUCCGUAGCUGGUCUGAGAGGACGACCAGCCACACUGGGACUGAGACACGGCCCAGACUCCUACGGGAGGCAGCAGUGGGGAAUUUUGGACAAUGGGGGCAACCCUGAUCCAGCCAUGCCGCGUGCGGGAAGAAGGCCUUCGGGUUGUAAGCCGCUUUUGUUCGGGAAGAAAUCCUCUGGGCUAAUACCCCGGGGGGAUGACGGUACCGGAAGAAUAAGCACCGGCUAACUACGUG
rnacentral:rRNA from 1 species